rnacentral:misc_RNA from 1 species
AAAAAAGAGAAGAUGUUUCUAGAAACAUAUGCACCAAAACAACCUAUGAACUUUGUGUUUCAUAAUUGUUCUACUGCAACAAGCAAGGCAUUAGCCCACCCUUGACUGUUCAAAAUGUGAUGCGUUUAUGGACAAUGCAUGAUGAACUCCAAAUAGCUAGACAUAGUAUAUCAUACCAACUUCAAUAAGGCUGAUGUGAGGAAUGUU